rnacentral:rRNA from 1 species
CCUACGGGAGGCUGCAGUAGGGAAUCUUCCACAAUGGGCGCAAGCCUGAUGGAGCAACACCGCGUGAGUGAAGAAGGGUUUCGGCUCGUAAAGCUCUGUUGUUGGAGAAGAACGUGCGUGAGAGUAACUGUUCACGCAGUGACGGUAUCCAACCAGAAAGUCACGGCUAACUACGUGCCAGCAGCCGCGGUAAUACGUAGGUGGCAAGCGUUAUCCGGAUUUAUUGGGCGUAAAGCGAGCGCAGGCGGUUGCUUAGGUCUGAUGUGAAAGCCUUCGGCUUAACCGAAGAAGUGCAUCGGAAACCGGGCAACUUGAGUGCUGAAGAGGACAGUGGAACUCCAUGUGUAGCGGUGGAAUGCGUAGAUAUAUGGAAGAACACCAGUGGCGAAGGCGGCUGUCUGGUCUGCAACUGACGCUGAGGCUCGAAAGCAUGGGUAGCGAACAGGAUUAGAUACCCCAGUAGUC